GAUCGCUGCGCGGGCUGCGAGAUCUAGGUGGCCGGGCGCGGAGCCCAAGCCGUGCCGCGCGGCGCCAUGAAGGGCAAGGAGGAAAAGGAGGGCGGCGCGCGGCUGGGCACUGGUGGCGGCGGCAGCCCUGAUAAGAGCCCGAGUGCGCAAGAGCUCAAGGAGCAGGGAAACCGGCUCUUCGUGGGCCGCAAGUACCCGGAGGCGGCGGCCUGCUACGGCCGCGCCAUCACUCGGAACCCACUUGUGGCAGUGUACUACACUAACCGGGCCCUGUGCUAUCUGAAGAUGCAGCAGCCUGAACAGGCACUUGCUGACUGCCGGCGAGCCCUGGAGCUGGACGGGCAGUCUGUGAAGGCGCACUUCUUCCUGGGGCAGUGCCAGCUGGAGAUGGAGAGUUAUGAUGAGGCCAUUGCCAAUCUGCAGCGAGCCUAUAGUUUGGCCAAGGAGCAGCGACUCAACUUUGGGGAUGAUAUUCCUAGUGCCCUUCGCAUUGCUAAGAAGAAGCGCUGGAACAGUAUCGAGGAACGGCGCAUCCACCAGGAGAGUGAGCUGCAUUCAUAUCUCACCAGGCUCAUUGCUGCUGAGCGAGAGAGGGAACUGGAGGAGUGUCAGCGGAACCACGAGGGUCAUGAAGAUGAUGGCCACAUCCGGGCCCAGCAGGCCUGCAUUGAGGCCAAGCACGUGAGGGUGCCCCUAGUCCACAUGUGGGUCAUUGUGUGUGUGUUUGUGUGUGGCAUGAAAAGUGCCCCAGCCUUUGGUGGAUCUGUUGGCCCAUGCAUGACAUGAGUGCCCUGGUGGACAGAGUGUGUGUGUCUGUGUGGAGACAGGAGUUGCCCACACAUGGCACUCAACUCUGCAGGAUAAAUACAUGGCAGAUAUGGAUGAGCUCUUCUCUCAGGUGGACGAGAAAAGAAAGAAGCGAGAUAUCCCUGACUACUUGUGUGGCAAGAUUAGCUUUGAGCUGAUGCGGGAACCCUGCAUUACACCCAGUGGUAUCACCUAUGACCGCAAGGACAUUGAGGAGCACCUGCAGCGUGUGGGCCACUUUGACCCUGUGACCCGGAGCCCUCUGACCCAGGAACAGCUCAUCCCCAACUUGGCCAUGAAGGAAGUCAUUGACGCUUUCAUCUCUGAGAACGGCUGGGUAGAGGACUAUUGAGGCCCCAUGUCCUGCCUGGCACCCUGGCCCAGGAGGAUCUGGAGACGGAAGCUCCAGUCCCUGUAUAGUUUGUGUCCCUGGGCCUGCCCCCAUCGGCCCUGCUGAUGGGUUCUGAACUGCUCCCCUUCUCAGCAUACCCCUUGCUGGACCAUGAGCCUCCCUUGUCCCCCUUCUGGGCUGGAGAGUGGGUGAGGGUGGGCUGAGGUUGCUGCUGCUGCCACUGUCCUGUAAUAAAGUCUGUGAGCACUACA